AUCAAAUUAACAAAAUCUGAAAUUUUGUUCCUUUGCUCCCUUCCUGUUCGAACCACUACCCACCACCUUCAACCACCACUCCGUCCGUCACCAAUCACCAACCCACGAACCACCAGCCACCGCGUCGACCGCCCAGAACCGCCCCAAGUCACCACCACCAAUUUCCCUGUUUCCUCUCUGUUUUGCACACCUCUGCCUCCCUCUUUCUUCGUCACUGCCGCACCCCCCAGGCCACCGCACCACCUUUUAUAACCACCUCCGCCUCACAAUCCCCGGCGAUAGGCUGCUGCUCCGCCCCGGGUUCGACCAAGAAACACCCCUCCCGUGUUUUUUCUCUGUUUCGUUCGAACACCCCUUUCCUUUUCCUUGCAGCUCCGCCGCCGCGAAACCACCACCACCGCUGUCGCCUCUCAGCCGUGGUUCCGCAGUGCGCCGCCCAACCGCCACCCCUGUCUCCCUUCUUCCUCCCCUGCUCCUCCUUCGAGCCCUCCCCUCCCCUGCUCCCGUGUUUCCCUUCCCAGAAAAAGAAAACAAGUUCCAUUUAGGAACUUUGUUAUAUUUAUUUCUCAAGCCAAGCCCAAAUCACUUAGCCCAAUUUUCCCAAUAAAUUGGACUCGGAGUUCAGGAAGAACGAUCCAUCGAACAGGAAGUAUAAACUACGGGAGGUACGAAGAAGAUCAUGGGAUGCCUUAGAGUGAGGAUGCAACCAUCAAAUUCACGAUUGAUGUUUAGUAAAAAUAACUAUGUCAUUAGUAAUAAAGGGAUGUAUUAAUUAAACUCUAAGUUUGAUUUCACGAUUUGAGUUAGAUUUUUAAAUUAACGUUAAACAUGUUAGAAAUAUUUAUUAAGGUUUACUUAGAUUUCAAUGAAUUUUUUUUUUAAAGAAUUAAUCGAAGUGAAGUAUAGUUACUGUUACUCAACAGUAGUCAGUAAAUGUAAAAGGUUAUGCCGCCUUGUAUUUCCCACGAGGGAAAUAGGCAUGUGACGCUCCGACUAAAUUAGGGUUUCCGCUGCUAAUUAAAGAUAAUUAAUCUAAUUAAUGGUGUUUAGAAGUCGGGGCGUUACAGUAUUAAACUCCGUUAAAAGACAAUUGUUGCACUUGUUGCGAAAUAAAUGGAGUAUCAUAAUGUUGCAAUAAUCAAGGAAAGGUACAUGCAAUAAUCUAUACCUAGUUAAUGGACAUCAUUUGCACCCUUUAGCUUUUAAAUUCAUAAAAGGCAUAACAUGUGAGGUUUGGGACACAUUUAUGUUAAUAUGGCUUUCAUAAUUUUUUUUUUUUUUAACAUUCAUGGAUUUCAAAAUCGAAGCAGUAGAAUAGACUAAUAAUCUACCAAUCUGUAAUAGAAUAUUUGAAUUGUAGUGCUUAGAGACGACCAAAUGGAUUAACCUCAUGUUGGACGACAAUGCAGAUGCCACGACCAUCAAUCAAAAAUAUUUUUACCAAUUUUUAAUCCCAACUUAUCCAUAAAUAGUACUCCGUAGUUUUCUAAGCACAACUUGACAAACUACUUGGGACAUUUAUAAGAUUAUCAAAGAAUUAUUAAUUAAUG